UACAGAGGUCUCAAGCGUUGUUCGGAUUCAUUGGGCGUAAAGAGCUCGUAGGCGGCUGCUCAAGUCGAAUGUGAAAACUCGAGGCUCAACCUCGAGCCUGCAUUCGAUACUGGGACGGCUAGAGUCUGGUAGGGGGGAUCUGGAAUUCCUGGUGUAGCGGUGGAAUGCGCAGAUAUCAGGAGGAACACCGGUGGCGAAGGCGGGAUCCUGGGCCAGUACUGACGCUGAGGAGCGAAAGCGUGGGGAGCAAACAGG
rnacentral:rRNA from 1 species